rnacentral:rRNA from 1 species
UUCUUAGUGGCGGACGGGUGAGUAACGCGUGGAUAACCUGGCCCAUACAGGGGGAUAGCAGCUGGAAACGGCUGGUAAUACCGCAUAAGCGCACGGUACGGCAUCGUACAGUGUGAAAAACUCCGGUGGUAUGGGAUGGGUCCGCGUCUGAUUAGGCAGUUGGCGGGGUAAAGGCCCACCAAACCGACGAUCAGUAGCCGGCCUGAGAGGGUGGGCGGCCACAUUGGGACUGAGACACGGCCCAAACUCCUACGGGAGGCAGCAG